UACAGAGGUCUCGAGCGUUAGGCGGAAUCACUGGGCUUAAAGCGUGUGUAGGCGGAUCGUUAAGUGCCUUGUGAAAUCCCACGGCUCAACCGUGGAACUGCUUGGCAUACUGGCGGUCUUGAGCAACCUAGGGGCGAGCGGAACAAAUGGUGGAGCGGUGAAAUGCGUAGAUAUCAUUUGGAACGCCAAUGGUGAAAACAGGUAGCUGGGGCUGUACUGACACUGAGACACGAAAGCCAGGGGAGCAAACGGG
rnacentral:rRNA from 1 species